UACAGAGGUCUCAAGCGUUGUUCGGAUUUAUUGGGCGUAAAGAGCGUGUAGGCGGCCGUACAGGUCAGCUGUGAAAACUCGAGGCUCAACCUCGAGACGUCGGUUGAAACCGUACGGCUAGAGUCCGGAAGAGGAGAGUGGAAUUCCCGGUGUAGCGGUGAAAUGCGCAGAUAUCGGGAAGAACACCCGUGGCGAAGGCGGCUCUCUGGGACGGUACUGACGCUGAGACGCGAAAGCGUGGGGAGCGAACAGG
rnacentral:rRNA from 1 species